rnacentral:rRNA from 1 species
AACGAACGCUGGCGGCAUGCCUAACACAUGCAAGUCGAACGAGAUCUUCGGGUCUAGUGGCGCACGGGUGCGUAACGCGUGGGAAUCUGCCCUUUGGUUCGGAAUAACAGUUGGAAACGACUGCUAAUACCGGAUGAUGACGAAAGUCCAAAGAUUUAUCGCCAGAGGAUGAGCCCGCGUAGGAUUAGCUAGUUGGUGUGGUAAAGGCGCACCAAGGCGACGAUCCUUAGCUGGUCUGAGAGGAUGAUCAGCCACACUGGGACUGAGACACGGACCAGACUCCUACGGGAGGCUGCAGUGGGGAAUAUUGGACAAUGGGCGAAAGCCUGAUCCAGCAAUGCCGCGUGAGUGAUGAAGGCCUUAGGGUUGUAAAGCUCUUUUACCCGGGAUGAUAAUGACAGUACCGGGAGAAUAAGCUCCGGCUAACUCCGUGCCAGCCGCCGCAGUAACAC